rnacentral:rRNA from 1 species
CUACGUGCCAGCAGCCGCGGUAAUACGGAAGGUCCAGGCGUUAUCCGGAUUUAUUGGGUUUAAAGGGAGCGUAGGCUGGAGAUUAAGUGUGUUGUGAAAUGUAGACGCUCAACGUCUGAAUUGCAGCGCAUACUGGUUUCCUUGAGUACGCACAACGUUGGCGGAAUUCGUCGUGUAGCGGUGAAAUGCUUAGAUAUGACGAAGAACUCCGAUUGCGAAGGCAGCUGACGGGAGCGCAACUGACGCUUAAGCUCGAAGGUGCGGGUAUCAAACAGGAUUAGAUACCCUGGUAGUCCGCACAGUAAACGAUGGAUGCCCGCUGUUGGUACCUGAUAUCAGCGGCUAAGCGAAAGCAUUAAGCAUCCCACCUGGGGAGUACGCCGGCAACGGUGAAACUCAAAGGAAUUGACGGGGGCCCGCACAAGCGGAGGAACAUGUGGUUUAAUUCGAUGAUACGCGAGGAACCUUACCCGGGCUUGAAUUGCAGAGGAAGGAUUUAGAGAUA